rnacentral:misc_RNA from 1 species
GAUGAAGAACGUAGCGAAAUGCGAUACUUGGUGUGAAUUGCAGAAUUCAGUGAAUCAUCGAAUCUUUGAACGCACAUUGCGCCCCUUGGUAUUCCAUGGGGCAUGCCUGUUCGAGCGUCAUUUGUACCUUCAAGCUUUGCUUGGUGUUGGGUGUUUGUCUCGCCUUUGCGUGUAGACUCGCCUUAAAAUAAUUGGCAGCCGGCGUAUUGAUUUCGGAGCGCAGUACAUCUCGCGCUUUGCACUCAUAACGACAGCGUCCAAAAGUACAUUUUACACUCUUGACCUCGGAUCAGGUAGGGAUACCCGCUGAACUUAAGCAUAUCAAUAAGCGGAGGA